AAAACCAGACAUUCUGUGCAGGUGGAUGGAUGACAGUUGGUGUUUUUACUAUGUAGCAAACUCAAAAGGUUUCUCUGCUGAAGGUUUUGUGGCUCUCUUAGGAGGAGUGGAAGCUUUGUGGGGUAGGACCUAAUGGACAGAAGCUGAUCUCGAGGAGCCUCAGAAGGGUGUGUGUUGUCUCUCUGUGCAUCCUGCCUGCCACGAGGAACUAUUAUAUCAACCACUCCUUUGGAUCGUGUCUACAUCAUCUGUGGGACAUGUGACACGAUGGUGCACCCACAUCUGCUCCUGGAAGGUCAGGCACAACAAAAAGGUCAGAAACAAAAAGUUAAAGGUUGGGUCGAAAGGAGAUGCGCCUUCCACAGCUGUCAAAACCACGCACAGGUGCAUGUAAGGAGCGCGCUCUUGAGGUCCUCCGGUCAGGCGACAAAGCCGCGAUGAGCAGCAUCAGAGGCUGUGACAGCUGUGACCCUUGGGGCCUCACUUGUGCAUUCCUGUGGAAAAGCAAAGCUCAGACUUGAGGCCGGCACAGCAUGGAAAGAGGGACUGACUCACGACCCCUGGUAGAGAACCCCCUUCCCCUACCCAGAGGCCCUCUGGAAGAUUGCACUGGCCUCCCCAUACCCUGGUAGGCCAUUUU
rnacentral:lncRNA from 1 species